GAUGAACGCUGGCGGCGUGCUUAACACAUGCAAGUCGAACGUGAGGGUGCAGCGAUGUGCCUGAAAGUGGCGAACGGGUGAGUAACACGUAGAUGACCUGCCCUGGAGUGGGGGAUAACCAUUGGAAACGGUGGCUAAUACCGCAUACAUCCGGAGAACUGGGAAGUUUUCUGGGGAAAGCUCUGGUGCUUCAGGAGGGGUCUGCGUCCGAUUAGCUAGUUGGUGGGGUAAAGGCUCACCAAGGCGACGAUCGGUAGCUGGUCUGAGAGGACGAUCAGCCACACGGGAACUGAGACACGGUCCCGACUCCUACGGGGGGCAGCAGUGAGGAAUAUUGGGCAAUGGGCGGAAGCCUGACCCAGCAACGCCGCGUGGAGGAAGACGGGCCUUCGGGUUGUAAACUCCUUUUGACGGGAAGAGAGAGGACGGUA
rnacentral:rRNA from 1 species